CCCGGAGCUCGGCCUUCUCCGAGAGCGGGGCCGCGUGCCGACCGAGACCCCCGGCCAGAGCGCGGGCCGCGCGAGGGCCCUCCUCUCCCGCGCUCCUGGAACAGGGUUGAGGAGGAAACCGGGCGACGGCGGCGCCCUCUCCCUCUGUGGCGUCAUUUCAGGCCAGAGAGAAGAAUUCCUUGCUAUCAAGUUCUCAUCAACAAGUCAAAUGGAAUUAGGAUAUCCUCGACCUACAUUCCUGAGGACAUAACAAUAAUUAUGGGAUAUGAAGUACAGCAUCUUAAAGUUAAAAACUAUUUUUCCAGGUCUUAUUAAUUUUUGUUGAACUAAAAUUAACUGUCAAGUAAGAACACUGAUACUUAAAGGUAAAUUGCUACUAUAAAAAAAAUGUAACCUUUGCCAUGUAAUGGAAUAGAAUCCUAAAUUUUAUCAGUAAUAUUAAGAAUAUUUACUUAAUAGUAUUUCCUUUUACAAAGGUGCUUGGAGUAUAGUGGAUCUGUUUCAGAUAUCCUAAUGGGAUUUUUUUUUUUUUUUUUCAGAAAACAGCAAUUAUAAUUUGCUGCUUUCUGAAAAGAUUUUUUAAAAUGGGGGGGUUCACAAGAAAGAAAUUUUGUCAGGGUUAGGUUUGGAAGAGGCUUAUUCUAGCAGCCUUUGUGGUACAUGUCCCCUGAGUCAUUGUGAGACUGAAUUAUAUGCCAUGUGUCAAAAAUUAAACUGCCACCAAUUGACAACUAAAUUUGAUACCCUUCAUCUUGAGAAGUUGGGAUGUUAUACAUAAUCCAGGCCAGUCCUUGAAGGAUUUUUUUUCUCUUAGCCACUUUACAGAAUUGCAGGACUGCCCAAUUUAUAGGCUUUUUUUUUUUUUUUGGAAGCACCAUCUUUAAAAAAUUCCUGUAAAUUCUAAAAAGUGUUUGGUAACUUAACAUUUAUUUUUAGGUAUUUCAUGCUAAGCUGAAAACUCUCUUUACCAAAUAUGAUGAAACCAAAAUAUAAUGAAGCUACAGCUAAGAAAAAUCUACCCAUACAAUGAAAUUUUUAUUGAGUAUAAAUAUUUGUUUCCUUGGUGUUCAGCCCCAAUAUACUUUUCUACCCAACUGGAUAAAUCAAAGCUAAAAUAU
rnacentral:lncRNA from 1 species